rnacentral:lncRNA from 1 species
ACUUUCUUUGGUCGGAUUCUUCUUAACAAGGACAACAUUUGCUACCCACGUUGGAUAAUUGACUUCACGGACGAAGCCUAUGCCUUUGAGUUUUUCAACUUCUGCCUUCAUUGCCUCAUACCGUUCAACGUCAUAAGAUCUUUGCUUCUGUCUCACUGGCUUAGUCUUGGGGUCAAUACUUAAGCGAUGACAGAUGAUAUCGUGAGAAAUGCCUGGC